UACGAAGGGGGCGAGCGUUGUUCGGAUUUACUGGGCGUAAAGGGCGCGCAGGCGGUCUUGAAAGUCAGGCGUGAAAGCCCCGGGCUUAACCUGGGAAUUGCGCUUGAUACUCUGAGACUGGAGUACGGGAGAGGAGAGUGGAAUUCCCAGUGUAGAGGUGAAGUUCGUAGAUAUUGGGAAGAACACCAGUGGCGAAGGCGGCUCUCUGGACCGUAACUGACGCUGAGGCGCGAAAGCGUGGGGAGCAAACAGG
rnacentral:rRNA from 1 species